CGCUACGGACUUAAAUCCGUCGACUUUAGAAAUCGUGAGGGUUCAAGUCCUCCUAUCCCCA
rnacentral:tRNA from 1 species